rnacentral:rRNA from 1 species
UACACUCCUACGGGAGGCAGCAGUGGGGAAUUUUGGACAAUGGGCGAAAGCCUGAUCCAGCAAUGCCGCGUGAGUGAAGAAGGCCUUCGGGUUGUAAAGCUCUUUUGUCAGGGAAGAAACGGUGAAAGCUAAUAUCUUUUGCUAAUGACGGUACCUGAAGAAUAAGCACCGGCUAACUACGUGCCAGCAGCCGCGGUAAUACGUAGGGUGCAAGCGUUAAUCGGAAUUACUGGGCGUAAAGCGUGCGCAGGCGGUUUUGUAAGUCUGAUGUGAAAUCCCCGGGCUCAACCUGGGAAUUGCAUUGGAGACUGCAAGGCUAGAAUCUGGCAGAGGGGGGUAGAAUUCCACGUGUAGCAGUGAAAUGCGUAGAUAUGUGGAGGAACACCGAUGGCGAAGGCAGCCCCCUGGGUCAAGAUUGACGCUCAUGCACGAAAGCGUGGGGAGCAAACAGGAUUAGAAACCCUUGUAGUCCCAUGA